GACGAACGCUGGCGGCGUGCCUAAUACAUGCAAGUAGAACGCUGAAGAGAGGAGCUUGCUCUUCUUGGAUGAGUUGCGAACGGGUGAGUAACGCGUAGGUAACCUGCCUGGUAGCGGGGGAUAACUAUUGGAAACGAUAGCUAAUACCGCAUGAUAUUAAUUAUUGCAUGAUAAUUGAUUGAAAGAUGCAAUUGCAUCACUACCAGAUGGACUUGGGUUGUAUUAGCUAGUUGGUGAGGUAACGGCUCACCAAGGCGACGAUACAUAGCCGACCUGAGAGGGUGAUCGGCCACACUGGGACUGAGACACGGCCCAGACUCCUACGGGAGGCAGCAGUAGGGAAUCUUCGGCAAUGGGGGGAACCCUGACCGAGCAACGCCGCGUGAGUGAAGAAGGUUUUCGGAUCGUAAAGCUCUGUUGUAAGAGAAGAACGGGUGUGAGAGUGGAAAGUUCACACUGUGACGGUAUCUUACCAGAAGGGGACGGCUAACUACGUGCCAGCCGCCGCAGUAA
rnacentral:rRNA from 1 species